rnacentral:tRNA from 1 species
GCCUGGGUGGUUCAGUUGGUUAAAUGUCUGACUUUUGGUUUUGGCUCAGGUCAUGGUCUCACAGUUCGUGAGUUCAAACCUCACAUCAGGCU